GACGUAGGGCGCGAGCGUUGUCCGGAUUUAUUGGGCGUAAAGCGCGUGUAGGCGGCCACGCAGGUCCGCUGUGAAAACUCGAGGCUCAACCUCGAGCUGUCGGUGGAAACCGCGUGGCUAGAGUCCGGAAGAGGGGACUGGAAUUCCCGGUGUAGCGGUGGAAUGCGCAGAUAUCAGGAGGAACACCGGUGGCGAAGGCGGGUCUCUGGGCAACAACUGACGCUGAGGAGCGAAAGCGUGGGGAGCGAACAGG
rnacentral:rRNA from 1 species